rnacentral:rRNA from 1 species
UACGGAGGGUGCAAACGUUGCUCGGAAUCAUUGGGCGUAAAGCGCACGUAGGCGGUCCGUUAAGUCGGGAGUGAAAGCCCCAGGCUCAACUUGGGAAGUGCUUUCGAAGCUGGCGGACUUGAAUACUGGAGAGGAGAGUGGAAUUCCCAGUGUAGAGGUGAAAUUCGUAGAUAUUCGCAAGAACACCAGUGGCGAAGGCGGCUCACUGGCCCGGUACUGACGCUGAGGUGCGAAAGCGUGGGGAGCAAACAGG